AGUGCCGUUGAUACUGUGAGGCUAGGAUUUGGUUGCUGUGGGUGGAAUGUGUGGUGUAGCGGUGAAAUGCUUAGAGAUCACACAGAAUAUCGAUUGCGAAGGCAGCUCACAAAGCCAAGAUUGACGCUGAGGCACGAAAGUGUGGGGAUCAAACAGGAUUAGAUACCCUGGUAGUCCACACUGUAAACGAUGAUAACUCGCUGUCGGCGAUAUACAGUCGGUGGCCAAGCGAAAGCGAUAAGUUAUCCACCUGGGGAGUACGACCGCAAGGUUGAAACUCAAAGGAAUUGACGGGGGCCCGCACAAGCGGAGGAACAUGUGGUUUAAUUCGAUGAUACGCGAGGAACCUUACCCGGGCUCGAACGGUGCAGGAAUAUGGUAGAGAUAUCAUAGCUAGCAAUAGUCUGUAUCGAGGUGCUGCAUGGUUGUCGUCAGCUCGUGCCGUGAGGUGUCGGCUUAAGUGCCAUAACGAGCGCAACCCUUGUCAUUAGUUACCAUCAGGUCAAGCUGGGGACUCUAAUGAGACUGCCACCGUAAGGUGAGAGGAAGGGGGGGAUGACGUCAAAUCAGCACGGCCCUUAUGUCCGGGGCGACACACGUGUUACAAUGGGGGGUACAGAGGGCAGCCAUCCCGGCGACGGAGCGCCAAUCUCAAAAACCCUUCUCAGUUCGGAUUGGAGUCUGCAACCCGA
rnacentral:rRNA from 1 species